rnacentral:rRNA from 1 species
UGGGGAAUAUUGGACAAUGGGCGCAAGCCUGAUCCAGCCAUGCCGCGUGAGUGAUGAAGGCCUUAGGGUUGUAAAGCUCUUUUGUCCGGGAAGAUAAUGACUGUACCGGAAGAAUAAGCCCCGGCUAACUUCGUGCCAGCAGCCGCGGUAAUACGAAGGGGGCUAGCGUUGCUCGGAAUCACUGGGCGUAAAGCGCACGUAGGCGGAUCUUUAAGUCAGAGGUGAAAUCCCAAGGCUCAACCUUGGAACUGCCUUUGAUACUGGGGAUCUCGAGUCCGGAAGAGGUGAGUGGAACUCCGAGUGUAGAGGUGAAAUUCGUAGAUAUUCGGAAGAACACCAGUGGCGAAGGCGGCUCACUGGUCCGGUACUGACGCUGAGGUGCGAAAGCGUGGGGAGCAAACAGG